CCUACGGGAGGCAGCAGUAGGGAAUAUUGGGCAAUGGGCGCAAGCCUGACCCAGCCAUGCCGCGUGCAGGAAGAAGGCGUUAUGCGUUGUAAACUGCUUUUAUACAGGAAGAAACGACCCUUGCGAGGGGCAUUGACGGUACUGUAUGAAUAAGCACCGGCUAACUCCGUGCCAGCAGCCGCGGUAAU
rnacentral:rRNA from 1 species